rfam:Triticum urartu cultivar G1812 contig809165, whole genome shotgun sequence.
CGUAUACUCCCCCGUUUGAAAUUACUUGUCUCGGAUAUGGAUGUAUCUAGAACUAAAAUAUGUCUAGAUACAUUUAUUUCUGCGACAAGUAAUUCCGAACGGAGUGAGUACAUA